CUGCUUGGUUUUGCCAGCACAUAUACUAAAAUUGGAACAAUACAGAGGAGAUUAGCAUGGCCCCUACGUGAGGACGACACGCGAAUUUGUGAAGCAUUCCAUAUUUUU
ensembl:snRNA U6 U6 spliceosomal RNA